rnacentral:ncRNA from 1 species
CUAUAUGCCUACUCGUAGGUAUAUUCGAGUGCCGUGGUUGUAAUCCCUUCAGUGUGGAACACGCCACGUUAAACAAGAUCGGAGAGAUCCGAGACAUACACCUGUCCCUAUCUACUAUCUAGCGAAACCACAGCCAAGGGAACGGGCUUGGAAUAAUUAGCGGGGAAAGAAGACCCUUUUGAGCUUGACUCUAAUCUGGCAGUGUAAGGAGACAUAAGAGGUGUAGAAUAAGUGGGAGAUAUUAGACUUCGGUUUGGUAUCGCCAAUGAAAUACCACUACUCUUAUUGUUUCCUUACUUACUUGAUUAAAUGGAACGUGUAUCAUUUCCUAGCCAUUAUACGGAUAUAUUUAUUAUAUCUUAUGGUAUUGGGUUUUGAUGCAAGCUUCUUGAUCAAAGUAUCACGAGUUUGUUAUAUAAUCGCAAACAAAUUCUUUAAUGAGAGAUGCAUUUACUGUAUUAUUGAUUUGAAAAUUUGGUAUAACUCCAAUUACUCAGGUAUGAUCCAAUUCAAGGACAUUGCCAGGUAGGGAGUUUGACUGGGGCGGUACAUCUCUCAAAUAAUAACGGAGGUGUCCCAAGGCCAGCUCAGUGCGGACAGAAACCACACAUAGAGCAAAAGGGCAAAUGCUGACUUGAUCUCGGUGUUCAGUACACACAGGGACAGCAAAAGCUCGGCCUAUCGAUCCUUUUGGUUUAAAGAG